rnacentral:misc_RNA from 1 species
AUUAUGAAUAAAAAAUAAAUUCAUUUUAUAAGAAUUGCAUUGCAAUACCAAUUUUCAUAGCGAACCAAACAUGGCUUUAUAUCCAACUCACUCAUAUAUUUAAUCCAAGCUAAACCACAGAAACGUAGGGAUGAGAUGGAGAAAGUGAGGGUGACCUAUUUACAUGUACUUCCAAGGGUAGUUGUGACCUCUAUUAGUCUUCUUCCAUACCUUAAAAUAGAAGAGUCAAGAGCGGU